GGGGAAUAUUGCACAAUGGAGGAAACUCUGAUGCAGCAACGCCGCGUGGAGGAUGACGCAUUUCGGUGUGUAAACUCCUUUUAUAAGGGAAGAUAAUGACGGUACCUUAUGAAUAAGCACCGGCUAACUCCGUGCCAGCAGCCGCGGUAAUACGGAGGGUGCAAGCGUUACUCGGAAUCACUGGGCGUAAAGGAUGCGUAGGCUGGAAAUCAAGUCGAGAGUGAAAUCCAACGGCUCAACCGUUGAACUGCUCUCGAAACUGGUUACCUAGAAUAUGGGAGAGGUAGAUGGAAUUGGUGGUGUAGGGGUAAAAUCCGUAGAUAUCACCAGGAAUACCGAUUGCGAAGGCGAUCUACUGGAACAUGAUUGACGCUGAGGCAUGAAAGGGUGGGGAGCAAAC
rnacentral:rRNA from 1 species